rnacentral:tRNA from 1 species
GUGGGUGUAGCUCGGUAGUAGAGCACUUGCUUAGUAUGUGAGAGGCCCUAGGUUCAAACCCAAACUGCCACU